rnacentral:rRNA from 1 species
AACGAACGCUGGCGGCAGCCCUUACACAUGCAAGUCGAGCGCACCUUCGGGUGAGCGGCGGACGGGUUAGUAACGCGUGGGAACGUGCCCUUCUCUACGGAAUAGCCUCUGGAAACGGAGAGUAAUACCGUAUACGCCCUUUGGGGGAAAGAUUUAUCGGAGAAGGAUCGGCCCGCGUUAGAUUAGGUAGUUGGUGGGGUAACGGCCUACCAAGCCUACGAUCUAUAGCUGGUUUUAGAGGAUGAUCAGCAACACUGGGACUGAGACACGGCCCAGACUCCUACGGGAGGCAGCAGUGGGGAAUCUUGCACAAUGGGGGAAACCCUGAUGCAGCGAUGCCGCGUGAGUGAAGAAGGCCUUUGGGUUGUAAAGCUCUUUCGUCGGGGAAGAAAAUGACUGUACCCGAAUAAGAAGGUCCGGCUAACUUCGUG